UGCUCGAGUGGCGAACGGGUGAGUAACACGUGAGUAACCUGCCCUUGACUUUGGGAUAACUUCAGGAAACUGGGGCUAAUACCGGAUAGGAGCUCCUGCUGCAUGGGUGGGGGUUGGAAAGUUUCGGCGGUUGGGGAUGGACUCGCGGCUUAUCAGCUUGUUGGUGGGGUAGUGGCUUACCAAGGCUUUGACGGGUAGCCGGCCUGAGAGGGUGACCGGCCACAUUGGGACUGAGAUACGGCCCAGACUCCUACGGGAGGCAGCAGUGGGGAAUAUUGCACAAUGGGCGGAAGCCUGAUGCAGCAACGCCGCGUGCGGGAUGACGGCCUUCGGGUUGUAAACCGCUUUCGCCUGUGACGAAGCGUGAGUGACGGUAAUGGGUAAAGAAGCACCGGCUAACUACGUG
rnacentral:rRNA from 1 species